rnacentral:SRP_RNA from 1 species
GCCGGGAGUGGUGGCAUGCACCUAUAGUCCCAGCUACUUGGCAGGAGGAUCACUUAAGCCUGGGAGCUCAAGGCUGCAGUGAGCAGUGAUCAUGUCACUGCACUUCAGCCUGGGUGACAGAAAGAGACCCUGUCUNNNNNNNNNNAGACAGGGUCUCUUUCUGUCACCCAGGCUGAAGUGCAGUGACAUGAUCACUGCUCACUGCAGCCUUGAGCUCCCAGGCUUAAGUGAUCCUCCUG